CAAAGGCAAUCCUCCAGCGUUUCAAAUUUAUAUAUUACAUUGGGGUAGAUGAGAAACAUGCACAUUUUUGGUAUUAUUAGGAAAAGGUUAAUACAAUACGUUGCAUACAAGUUUGGUCAAUUAUGUCCUGUCGAUUAGGUCUGCAAAAUUUUAACAACAACAGUGAGGAGUGCGUUAGAUCAUGCUUAACCUGUCCUGUUGAUUAGGUCGGCAGAAUUUUAACAUCAACUGUGAGGCUUUAAUGCAAACCAGCUGAACUAGUAGUGCGUUAGAUCAUGCUUUUAUGUCACAGUG